GACGAACGCUGGCGGCGUGCUUAACACAUGCAAGUCGAACGGUGAAGGUGGAGCUUGCUCCGCCGGAUCAGUGGCGAACGGGUGAGUAACACGUGGGCAACCUGCCCCUCACUUCGAGAUAACUCCGGGAAACCGGGGCUAAUACCGGAUACGACCUCCUUGGGCAUCCUUGGAGGUGGAAAGUUUUUCGGUGAGGGAUGGGCCCGCGGCCUAGCAGCUUGUUGGUGAGGUCGUGGCUCACCAAGGCGACGACGGGUAGCCGGCCUGAGAGGGCGACCGGCCACACUGGGACUGAGACACGGCCCAGACUCCUACGGGAGGCAGCAGUGGGGAAUAUUGCGCAAUGGGCGAAAGCCUGACGCAGCAACGCCGCGUGCGGGAUGAAGGCCUUCGGGUUGUAAACCGCUUUCAGCAGGGAAGAAGCCGCAAGGUGACGGUACCUGCAGAAGAAGCACCGGCUAACUACGUGCCAGCCGCCGCCGUAA
rnacentral:rRNA from 1 species